rnacentral:lncRNA from 1 species
NNNNGGGGCCGCGCCGGCAGCGGGUGCCACUCCGCAGGGCGCCGGAGGGGACACGCGCCGGCCCCGCGGCUCGGAACGAAGCCGGAGCGGCCACGGGCGCCCCGGCCACAGCCCGGCUGGCCCUGCCGAGCCCGAGGACGCAGCGGCCACCCGAGCCGCGGGACCGGGGCUGAGCACCGGCACCCACGGGAACUCUGGGAUCAAGACACCCAUGGGAGCACCCGGAUCUGGGCACCGGCACCCACGGGAACUCUGGGAUCAAGACACCCAUGGGAGCACCCGGAUCCAGGCACCGGCACCCACGGGAACUCCCAGACCAAGACACCCACGGGAGCACCCGGAUCCAGGUACUAGCACCCAUGGGAACUCUGGGAUGAAGACACCCAUGGGAGCACCCGGAUGCGGGCACCAGCACCCAUGGGAACUCCAGGAUCAAGACACCUAUGGGAGCAUCCGGACCUGGGCACUGGCACCCAUGGGAACUCCAGGACCAAGACACCCAUGGGAGCACCCGGAUCCGGGUACUAGCACCCAUGGGAACUCUGGGAUCAGGACACCCAUGGGAGCAUCCAGACCUCGGCACCAGCACCCAUGGGAGCCCCCGGACCCGCACAAGAGCCCCCAGACCCAAACACCCACGGGAGCCUCCGUGCCCGGUCACCGGCACCCACGGGAAUUCCCAGACACGGACACCCUCGGGAGCCCCAAGCACCGGCACCCACGCGAGUCCCCGUGUCCGGGCACCCCCGGGAGCCCCCGGGUGAGAAAGCCCCGGCAGCGGGAAACGAGGGGGAUGUCCGGGGCCGGACUUCCCCCGGGGCCGCCCCGAGCCGCGGCUCCCACCCCCGCGGGCGGCGGCGCUCCCAGAGCCGGCUCCCCCCGGGCACCGGGCACCGGCCCCCGCCGACCGGGGGGGAGGGGAGGGGAAGGGAGGGCGGGGGGGGGCGGCCCGGGAGGGAGCACCGGGACCCGGCCGGGGGCGCACGGGAGGGGACGCGCCGUUGUGCGCCGCGAAGCGCGGGACGGACGCGCCGCCGGGACGGCGGCGGCGAUGCCCCGGCAGGGCGCACCGGGACCCCGACGGCGGCGCACCGGGAGCGGAGCGGGGGUCUCCCCCCCCUUCCCCUCUCCUCCCCUCCCCGGAGGCCCGGCGCGGCGGGGGGUCCGUCUCUCACCAGCACCAGGGCGAACCGCUCCUCCAGCUCGCAGGGCUCCGGCAUCGGCAUCUUGCCCGGGACGAGCAGCCCGGGCCCCGCCGGGGCCGCCGCCGCGCCCGGGCCCCGGGGCAGCGCCUCCCCGUCCGCGCUCUCCACGUUCCCCAUCCCCGG